UUGCUAAAUAUGGGACAUUAUUUACUUAAUUUCAAUCAGAUUAAUAUAUUUAAGCAAGCUUUAUCUUUUAGGCCAGUAAUCGUGUUGAACAGGAACUGCUGAGCGGAGAUACUGCUGUAAUAGCUGAAACUGGAGACUCAUGGCUCAACUGUCAGAAUCUCCGUCUGCCUGAGAAUUGCGGCUGAGUCAUUAACUAUGACUGCAUUUAGCAUUAUGCUAAUUGAAACUUUUAUAUUGUUGGAAUAAACAUUGUCAAAAUUUGAAUUCCAUCUUUCAGGUAUGAAUUCCAGAUGCAGUAUGGAUCCAUUGGUUGGUCAGUAGGUGCUACUCUUGGAUAUGCACAGGCUGCAACAGACAAGCAUGUAAUUUCUUGCAUUGGUGAUGGCACUUUUCAGGUUAGUAAGGUUAUAAGAAUAGAAACUAUCUGUGUCCAGAAUGCUAAAGAUAAUAUACAACUGUUUUUCUUUUUAAUUAAGUGUUGACCUAGAGUAUGAAAUUUUGUGCGAAAUUGAAGUAAUGCCAUAAACAAUGGCUGAAUGUUUGAAAUAGUACCUUUACUUGGUCAUCCCUUCUUUCUUCCUCUGCCACAGUAUUGACUAUUGUUGGGGUUAUGUGUUGUUG
rnacentral:lncRNA from 1 species